rnacentral:rRNA from 1 species
AUUCCAGCUCCAAUAGCGUAUAUUAAAGUUGUUGCGGUUAAAAAGCUCGUAGUUGGAUUUCUGCCGAGGAUGACCGGUCCGCCCUGUGGGUGUGCAUCUGGCUCAGCCUUGGCAUCUUCCUGAAGAACGUAGCUGCACUUGACUGUGUGGUGCGGUAUUUAGGACAUUUACUUUGAGGAAAUUAGAGUGUUUCAAGCAAGCGCACGCUUUGAAUACAUUAGCAUGGAAUAAUAAGAUAGGACUUUGGUGGUCUAUUUUGUUGGUUUGCACACCAAGGUAAUGAUUAAUAGGGACAGUUGGGGGUAUCCGUAUUUCAAAGUCAGAGGUGAAAUUCUUGGAUUUUUGAAAGACGAACUACUGCGAAAGCAUUUACCAAGGAUGUUUUCAUUA